GAUGAACGCUGGCGGCGUGCCUAAUACAUGCAAGUCGAGCGAACAGACGAGGAGCUUGCUCCUUUGACGUUAGCGGCGGACGGGUGAGUAACACGUGGAUAACCUACCUAUAAGACUGGGAUAACUUCGGGAAACCGGAGCUAAUACCGGAUAACAUGUUGAACCGCAUGGUUCAACAGUGAAAGACGGUCUUGCUGUCACUUAUAGAUGUAUCCGCGCCGCAUUAGCUAGUUGGUAAGGUAACGGCUUACCAAGGCAACGAUGCGUAGCCGACCUGAGAGGGUGAUCGGCCACACUGGAACUGAGACACGGUCCAGACUCCUACGGGAGGCAGCAGUAGGGAAUCUUCCGCAAUGGGCGAAAGCCUGACGGAGCAACGCCGCGUGAGUGAAGAAGGUCUUCGGAUCGUAAAACUCUGUUAUUAGGGAAGAACAAAUGUGUAAGUAACUAUGCACGUCUUGACGGUACCUAAUCAGAAAGCCACGGCUAACUACGUG
rnacentral:rRNA from 1 species